rnacentral:rRNA from 1 species
CAGUCGCCGCGGUAAUACGUAGGUGGCAAGCGUUGUCCGGAAUUAUUGGGCGUAAAGCGCGCGCAGGCGGAUCAGUUAGUCUGUCUUAAAAGUUCGGGGCUUAACCCCGUGAGGGGAUGGAAACUGCUGAUCUAGAGUAUCGGAGAGGAAAGUGGAAUUCCUAGUGUAGCGGUGAAAUGCGUAGAUAUUAGGAAGAACACCAGUGGCGAAGGCGACUUUCUGGACGAAAACUGACGCUGAGGCGCGAAAGCCAGGGGAGCGAACGGGAUUAGAUACCCCAGUAGUCCCUGUCUCUUAUACC